AAUCAACGCUGGCGGCGUGCCUCAGACAUGCAAGUCGAACGAUUAAAGCUCCCUUCGGGGAGUGCAUAGAGUGGCGCACGGGUGAGUAACACGUAAGUAAUCUACCCUCGGGUGAGGAAUAACGUUCGGAAACGGACGCUAAUACCGCAUAAUGCAGCGGCACCGCAAGGUGACAGUUGUUAAAGAUUUAUUGCCUGGGGAGGAGCUUGCGGCAGAUUAGCUUGUUGGUAAGGAACGGCUUACCAAGGCUACGAUCUGUAUCCGGUCUAAGAGGACGGUCGGACACACUGACACUGAAUAACGGGUCAGACUCCUACGGGAGGCAGCAGUCGGGAAUUUUUGGGCGAAUGGGGGGAAACCCGUACGACCCAACGCAAACGCCGGCCGUGAAAGGGAAUUGAAAGUAAUUUUCGGUAAUGUAAAACUUACGAAAGAAUAAGGAAGAAUUAAUGACGGUACUAUUUAUAAGUCCGGCUAACUACGUGCCA
rnacentral:rRNA from 1 species